rnacentral:rRNA from 1 species
UACGUAGGGUGCAAGCGUUGUCCGGAAUUAUUGGGCGUAAAGAGCUCGUAGGCGGUUUGUCGCGUCUGCUGUGAAAACGCGAGGCUCAACCUCGCGCCUGCAGUGGGUACGGGCAGACUGGAGUGCGGUAGGGGAGAUUGGAAUUCCUGGUGUAGCGGUGGAAUGCGCAGAUAUCAGGAGGAACACCGGUGGCGAAGGCGGUUCUCUGGGCAUGAUCUGACGCUGAGGAGCGAAAGUGUGGGGAGCGAACAGG